rnacentral:rRNA from 1 species
GACGAACGCUGGCGGCGUGCUUAACACAUGCAAGUCGAACGGAAAGGCCCUGCUUUUGUGGGGUGCUCGAGUGGCGAACGGGUGAGUAACACGUGAGUAACCUGCCCUUGACUUUGGGAUAACUUCAGGAAACUGGGGCUAAUACCGGAUAGGAGCUCCUGCUGCAUGGUGGGGGUUGGAAAGUUUCGGCGGUUGGGGAUGGACUCGCGGCUUAUCAGCUUGUUGGUGGGGUAGUGGCUUACCAAGGCUUUGACGGGUAGCCGGCCUGAGAGGGUGACCGGCCACAUUGGGACUGAGAUACGGCCCAGACUCCUACGGGAGGCAGCAGUGGGGAAUAUUGCACAAUGGGCGGAAGCCUGAUGCAGCAACGCCGCGUGCGGGAUGACGGCCUUCGGGUUGUAAACCGCUUUCGCCUGUGACGAAGCGUGAGUGACGGUAAUGGGUAAAGAAGCACCGGCUACCUACGUG